GUUAUCUCAUGGAAUUUGGAAUCUGGGAAGAGUUUGCUGGGAGGUGUCCGAGUUCCUAGCCUCCUCCGCAUUCCCCUCCCAAACAGUGGUUUAGCAGGUGCAGGUUGUGCAGGUCUAUGCAAAUUUUUCUGGUGAAGAGUUGGAGCCAUUUCACAAGGGUAUUUGUUUUACUUUAUCUUGUUGUAUCAAGUUUUACUUUAUCUUGUCUUUCAAAAGAGAAGGAAAGCAAAUGAGGAGGUAGACCCUGGUGAGACAGUCCCUUGGAGCACCCUCCUAUCAGGAGACUGGCAAGGCUCCUCUGGGGCCAGCAUGAUGACUCAGUGGGUAAAGGCCCCAGAAUAGAGAUGGUGGAAGAGAGACCUGACUCCCACGUGUAUCCUGUGGAAACUUCCUCCUGAGUCAACUAAUCGUCUCCUGAGUCUCCUGGUGGAACUUCAAACCUAGGGCCUUUUAAUCCAAUAGCUUCCUUCUGUUAAUUAUAUUUCUACUAUAAAUCAUAUAUAUGUA